rnacentral:lncRNA from 10 species
UGCGGGCUUGCAAAAGUCAAAUAACUUGCUGAAGGUGCCCCAGCUCGUGAGAGGCCAGAUUGGUUUGAGGCUGAGAUAAGGCCAUUAUGCCUACAGAAGAGCACUUUGAAAACCAUGAAGAGAUAUCCAAGAAUGAAGAUUAGCAAAGGCUAGACCUUAGAGAUACCGUGUGAAGAUACAGACAUACUCCAGCUGCAGUUCCUCCCCGGUCUGUACACCUGGCCCAUUGCCUCUGCGUUGAUGUCAGCUUUCCUGUCCACAUCAAGGCCAAGCCAGCUCAUCCAGGGAGGCCAUAGAUUGGCGAAGUGCGUCCUCUGCACCACCCAAUGCUCCACUGCAAUGGAAGCACUUGAGGCUGCUUCUCUGGAUUGUGAGUGGGUUCUGUUAAAAUGUCUACUUUGGAACAUGUCCGCUGAACUCUGGAUCCAGGCUGUGUCAAUAGGGUAGUGUGGUGCCUCCUGUACCUGUCUCUGCCUCCUACAGUCCUUUUUAUUUAUUUUAUUUCAUUUUUUAUAAUAGAGACAGGGUCUUGCUAUGCUGCCCAGGCUGGUUUUGAACUCCUGGGCUCAGGCAGUCUUUCUGCCUCGGUGUCCCAAAGUGCUGGGAUUACAAGCAUGAGCCACCGCACCUGGCCGUGUCCUUUACCAUCUUCAGAGGGCUUAGCUUGCAGUUUCAGCAG